rnacentral:rRNA from 1 species
GAUGAACGCUGGCGGCGUGCCUAAUACAUGCAAGUCGAGCGAAUGGAUUAAGAGCUUGCUCUUAUGAAGUUAGCGGCGGACGGGUGAGUAACACGUGGGUAACCUGCCCAUAAGACUGGGAUAACUCCGGGAAACCGGGGCUAAUACCGGAUAACAUUUUGAACCGCAUGGUUCGAAAUUGAAAGGCGGCUUCGGCUGGCACUUAUGGAUGGACCCGCGUCGCAUUAGCUAGUUGGUGAGGUAACGGCUCACCAAGGCAACGAUGCGUAGCCGACCUGAGAGGGUGAUCGGCCACACUGGGACUGAGACACGGCCCAGACUCCUACGGGAGGCAGCAGUAAGGAAUCUUCCGCAAUGGACGAAAUUCUGACGGAGCAACGCCGCGUGAGUGAUGAAGGCUUUCGGGUCGUAAAACUCUGUUGUUAGGGAAGAACAAGUGCUAGUUGAAUAAGCUGGCACCUUGACGGUACCUAACCAGAAAGCCACGGCUAACUACGUGCCAGCCGCCGCGGUAA